GGUCUUUGUGUUCAUGUGAUUACCCUUCACUCACAAACCAUGGAGAAGCAUUCAAACAAAGUCAUGAGAUACGUCACAGUGAACUGUUGCCACUACAAAAAAAAAAAAAAAAGAUGAUUGAUACAAUAAAGAGUUUAGUAGGCUUGUUUUAGAUGGCAUACCUAGAAAGGAUUUUAUCCCAAAGGCACAGAGAGUGCAGAGGAAAAUGAAUCAGCGGAGAAUAUUCUGAAAUGGAGCUUCAUUUAGAGGAUUCAGCAAUAAACUCAAGGGUUUUUUUAUUUAGAUA